GAUGAACGCUGGCGGCGUGCCUAAUACAUGCAAGUCGAGCGAACAGACGAGGAGCUUGCUCCUCUGACGUUAGCGGCGGACGGGUGAGUAACACGUGUAUAACCUACCUAUAAGACUGGGAUAACUUCGGGAAACCGGAGCUAAUACCGGAUAAUAUAUUGAACCGCAUGGUUCAAUAGUGAAAGACGGUUUUGCUGUCACUUAUAGAUGGAUCCGCGCCGCAUUAGCUAGUUGGUAAGGUAACGGCUUACCAAGGCAACGAUGCGUAGCCGACCUGAGAGGGUGAUCGGCCACACUGGAACUGAGACGCGGUCCAGACUCCUACGGGAGGCAGCAGUAGGGAAUCUUACGCAAUGGGCGAAAGCCUGACGGAGCAACGCCGCGUGAGUGAUGAAGGUCUUCGGAUCGUAAAACUCUGUUAUUAGGGAAGAACAAAUGUGUAAGUAACUAUGCACGUCUUGACGGUACCUAAUAAGAAAGCCACGGCUAACUACGUG
rnacentral:rRNA from 1 species